AGCGGGCCGGCGCCGAGGGGCCCUCGCGGCUGCGUCUUCCCGGCUGGCGGGCAGCGCGGGGCUCACGGCCGGGGCCACAGCAGGGGAUCUGAGACCCGCCCCCCGGAGAGCGGGUGGCGGGAGAGGUCUUCUGACCCUCACCGGCUAAGAACAAUAAAAUUGUCGUUUAGUCGCUCAGUCCUGUCCCACUCUGUGCGACCCCGUGGACAGUAGCCCGCCAGGCUCCUCUGUCCGUGGGAUUCUCCAGGCAGGAAUACUGGAGCGGGUUGCCACGCCCGCCUCCAGGGGAUCUCCCCCACCCGGGGAUCGAACCCGCGUCUCCUGCAAUAGCGAGCAUAUUUACCCCUGCGCCACAGGCGAAGCCCGAGUGACACGUACGCAGUAUCAAAAUGGCCUUUCUGAGAGCGGAUUCGUAUAUCUGUCUGACUGAGUCCCUUCGCUGUACACCUGAAGCUGAUACACAGCACAGACCUGUGCAACAGUCUCCAGCCUCCCCAGCCAGCGGGAGAGAUUCUUUAAUGUCUCAGCCAGCAGAAAGCCCACAAGUUAGGCACCCUGGACAAGACCCCCAUGCAUAAGAAAAUGUUCGUGAGUUACCUUCAGCCUAGAAAAUAAGAAAAAGUGAGAAAAACAAGAUCCAGAACAAGAUACGAACUUCCAAGAAGUUGACGUGCACUUAAGACAAGUGUGUGACUUAGAAGUGGGAGUCUCCUGACCUCUGGAUGUUUCAUGUGGCUGCUGCUGCUGCUAAGUCGCUUCAGUCGUGUCCGACUCUGUGCGACCCCAUAGACGGCAGCCCACCAGGCUCCCUCGUCCCUGGGAUUCUCCAGGCAGGAACACUGGAGUGAGUUGCCAUUUCCUUCUCCAGUGCAUGAAAGUGAAAAGUGAAAGUGAAGUCACUCAGUCAUGUCCAACUCUUAGCGACCCCAUGGACUGCAGCCUACCAGGCUCCUCCGUCCAUGGGAUUUUCCAGGCGAGAGUACUGGAAUGGGUUGCCAUUGCCUUCUCUGGUUUCAAGUGGAUUCUGAGAAAAAUGUCUGCUUCUUUAAUUAGAUGGAAAUGUACACAACAGAGAGCUUUGCAUCAGGUCUGGCAUUUAGUGCAUGACUCCCGGGGACAUUCCAAGCUGGGUUGUUGACCUAUUUUUCCUCUGGACCCCAAGCUGUGUUAACUCUUUGAUGACUUCUAAUCAGGAAUCAACGAUCCCUGUUAGAAAUGCCCAUCUUGCUGCCCCCUUAUCUCCCUUCCUUCCUCAACCACUGUUAUUUCUUACUUUUUGUGUUGCUGUUAUUGUUCCGUCACUAAGUCAUGUCCGAUUCUUUGAGACCCCAUGGACCGCAGCACGCCGGGCUUCCCUCUCCUUCAUCAUCUCCCAAAGUUUGCUCAAACCCUUGUCCAUUGAGUCAGUGAUGCCAUCCAACCGUCUCAUCCUCUGUCAUCCCCUUCUCCUGCCUUCAGUCUUUCCCAGCAUCAGGGUCUUUCCCAAGGAGUCGACUC
ensembl:lncRNA